GGACCAAUAGGCUAGCCAGCUAAACCCUGCGGCCCUUAACCGCAAGUCCCGGGUUGGAAUCCCGGUUGGUCCUCCA
rnacentral:tRNA from 1 species